UACUGAGUUUACGCUCUACAACCCUUUGUGAACAUACCUAUAACUGUUGCUUCGGCGGGUAGGGUCUCCGCGACCCUCCCGGCCUCCCGCCUCCGGGCGGGUCGGCGCCCGCCGGAGGAUAACCAAACUCUGAUUUAACGACGUUUCUUCUGAGUGGUACAAGCAAAUAAUCAAAACUUUUAACAACGGAUCUCUUGGUUCUGGCAUCGAUGAAGAACGCAGCGAAAUGCGAUAAGUAAUGUGAAUUGCAGAAUUCAGUGAAUCAUCGAAUCUUUGAACGCACAUUGCGCCCGCCAGCAUUCUGGCGGGCAUGCCUGUUCGAGCGUCAUUUCAACCCUCAAGCUCUGCUUGGUGUUGGGGCCCUACAGCUGAUGUAGGCCCUCAAAGGUAGUGGCGGACCCUCUCGGAGCCUCCUUUGCGUAGUAACUUUACGUCUCGCACUGGGAUCCGGAGGGACUCUUGCCGUAAAACCCCCAAUUUUCCAAAGGUUGACCUCGGAUCAGGUAGGAAUACCCGCUGAACUUA
rnacentral:rRNA from 4 species